UCUUUUUCUUCUCCCAUCGCCGAACCCCAUCCUCACCGCACAAUCCCCUCUUCCUCUCCUUCUCCCCUCUCUCGAACUCACCACUGCCGCCUCUCCCGAGCCUCUUCAUCUUCCCCAAUUGACGGGCCAACAACCCGACGUUGCGCGACGCCUCACCUCCUUCAUGAACAAAGCCAUCGGUCGAGGUAAGCCUCGAGCCCUUCUCCUCCUCUUUACGUCACGUAACACUCAACGCCACUGCCGCUCUCCCUUCUUCCCUCUGCGCCACUGCCGACCCCCACGGACCCACGACCGGUCGUCGCAGCUUAAAGCCGACCACCGUUCAGCGUCGAACCUUCCUCUCCCGAAGCUCUCGGUUUCUUCUCGCCUCACACCGCCGAUCCGUGCCCUAGAUACACCGCCGCCUCUGCGAGGGUUGCGCCGAUCAUCGCUAGAAGCCGAGCACCCAGAUCCUUCACUCUGUCGUGCCUAGCUCCAGCCGUUGGAGCCACCAGCAACCACUGUCGAUUUGGUGGCUAUUGGGAGACGUUGACCACAUGUUUCUAGCGGCAACUUAUCCUAGGGCCAAUUACUUUGCUCUAGCAGCAAAUCUUCUCCGGCAGUAAGUUAUCGGCUGAGGCAUUCAACUCAGGACUCUGAUUUGCGAUGAGCUGCUUUACGUGGGGUUUUUUUUGGCACGCGCUAUUUUUGAGACGGGAAAUCCAAAGAGCCACAGAUUAUGGUCAAGUCGAAUCAAAUUUGGCAUGAUUUGGAUCUCAAAUGGAGGAGAUCAAGCUGAAUCAACAUGAACCAUUGAUCCAAAUCUAGAGAGAUUUUUGCUCUUUCAUUCAUAUUAAAGCCACCCAGCCCUUGAUUCAGAUAUGAAAUAGUAGGGACUAUUGGAUUAAAGCAAGGAGACAACCUCAAUUAAUCUGAUCUGGACCACUUAUCUCCUCAUCAUUAAGAUCCAAUGGAUAACCCUCAACUAAAAAUAGACGGUCAAAUUUUAGAUCCCUUUUCUUGGACGGCUAUGAUCAAGAUUGGCUCCUCUCUUCUCUCACAUGGGCAGGAAGUGGAAAAAGGGGGGAUUGCAUGCAGCAGGGAACGCAUGGAACUUGGAAGCCACCACCACUUCUUCUUCCUCCUUCACCAACGGUCGGCAUCCACCUCUGUUCAUCCAUCGUCGUCGGCCAGCCAUCCAUAACCCAACCUUCUCCCCAUCUUCUCCUCGCGACUUCUUCUCUUGCGGAAGGUUAGGGUACGCGGCAACAUCCACAAGCAGCUUCACGCGACACCGGCACACCGCCACUCCUCUCUUCUCCAUCUUGAUCUCGAGGCUGGCGGUCCACCUUUUCACAGCCACCUCUUCUCAUUCUGGCGAGUCCGAGCAACACGUCCUCUUCAUCAGAUUUCGAUAGCAACCCUCUUUGGCAUAGUUAUUUUGUUUGAAUUGAUUGUUAAUGUUUGUUAAGAGAGAUUGAAUGCUUGUAUUGAUUUGAUUCCCUAUGUGUUAAUUUUUGCAUGUACUUUGCUUAGUUUACGUAAUGCUCACCAAGUGUUCGUUGAAA